rnacentral:rRNA from 1 species
CAGCAGGCGCGAAAACUUUGCAAUGCGGGAAACCGUGACAAGGGAACUCUGAGUGCCCGUUAAAUCGGGCUGUCCAUCGGUUUAAAUAACCGGUGAAGAAAGGGCCGGGCAAGACCGGUGCCAGCCGCCGCGGUAAUACCGGCGGCUCGAGUGGUGGCCACUAUUACUGGGCUUAAAGCGUUCGUAGCUGGUUUGUUAAGUCUCUGGGGAAAUCUUCCGGCUUAACCGGAAGGCGUCUCAGGGAUACUGGCAGACUAGGGACCGGGAGAGGUGAGAGGUACUCCAGGGGUAGGAGUGAAAUCCUGUAAUCCUUGGGGGACCACCUGUGGCGAAGGCGUCUCACCAGAACGGCUCCGACAGUGAGGGACGAAAGCUGGGGGAGCAAACCGGAUUAGAUACCCGGGUAGUCCCAGCUGUAAACGAUGCGCGUUAGGUGUAUCGGUGACCACGAGUCACCGAGGUGCCGAAGAGAAAUCGUGAAACGUGCCGCCUGGGAAGUACGGUCGCAAGGCUGAAACUUAAAG